AACGAACGCUGGCGGCAUGCCUAACACAUGCAAGUCGAACGAGAACUUCGGGUCUAGUGGCGCACGGGUGCGUAACGCGUGGGAACCUGCCCUUAGGUUCGGAAUAACUCCCCGAAAGGGGUGCUAAUACCGGAUAAUGUCUUCGGACCAAAGAUUUUUCGCCUUUGGAUGGGCCCGCGUUGGAUUAGCUAGUUGGUAGGGUAAAAGCCUACCAAGGCGACGAUCCAUAGCUGGUCUGAGAGGAUGAUCAGCCACACUGGGACUGAGACACGGCCCAGACUCCUACGGGAGGCAGCAGUGGGGAAUAUUGGACAAGGGGCGAAAGCCUGAUCCAGCAAUGCCGCGUGAGUGAUGAAGGCCUUAGGGUUGUAAAGCUCUUUUACCCGGGAUGAUAAUGACAGUACCGGGAGAAUAAGCACCGGCUAACUCCGUG
rnacentral:rRNA from 1 species